GAUGAACGCUAGCGGCAGGCCUAAUACAUGCAAGCCGAACGGCAAUCCCGCCAGCAAUGGCGGGACUAGAGUGGCGCAAGGGUGCGUAACACGUAUGCAAUCUGCCCACAACAGGAGGACAGCUCCCCGAAAGGGGAAUUAACCCUCCAUGGGACCACACGAGGGCAUCCGAGAGUGGUUAAACCAAAAGGGGUUGUGGAUGGGCAUGCGGUUGAUUAGCUGGUUGGAGGGUAACGGCCUACCAAGGCGAUGAUCAAUAGGGGAACUGAGAGGUUUGUCCCCACACUGGCACUGAGAUACGGGCCAGACUCCUACGGGAGGGCAGCAGUAAGGGGAAUAUUGGAACAAUGGGCGCAAGCCUGAUCCAGCCA
rnacentral:rRNA from 1 species